rnacentral:rRNA from 1 species
AUUGAACGCUGGCGGCAGGCCUAACACAUGCAAGUCGAACGAUUGGCGGACUGGUUAGUAAUGUCUGGGAAACUGCCCGAUGGAGGGGGAUAACUACUGGAAACGGUCGCUAAUACCGCAUACCAUCGGAUGUGCCCAGAUGGGAUUAGCGAGUAGGUGGGGUAACGGCUCACCUAGGCGACGAUCCCUAGCUGGUCUGAGAGGAUGACCAGCCACACUGGAACUGAGACACGGUACAGACUCCUACGGGAGGAAGCAGUGGGGAAUAUUGCACAAUGGGCGCAAGCCUGAUGCAGUAAUGCCGCGUGUAUGAAGAAGGCCUUCGGGUUGUAAAGUACUUUCAGCGAGGAGGCGUUACUCGCAGAAGAAGCACGGGCUAACUCCGUGCCAGCAGCCGCGGUAAGUC